UACAGAGCUACUACAUAGAUAGUUCUCUCUCUCUUUCAAGAUGGGGUCUAGACAUGUAAUCCUGGCUUACCUGAAACCCUGAAACUGACCUUGAACAUGGAGUGAUCCUCUUGCCUCCUCUGCCUCCUGGAAUGCUGUGGUUAAAGGCUAUCUCAUCGGAGAAAAUCUGGCCUCUGCUCACUUUCCCACCUGGCCUCAGAAGAGCUCACCUGUCUGUCUAUCUUCACAUGAAGCCUGAUGGCCCUUCGUGGACAGCAUGCUCAUGUGCACUCCGUAUUCGUCUCUAACACAAGGACAUAACUCACUUUCCUAGGACUGUCUGCCAUCUUCCUGCCUGGUACCUGCUAGGUCUUUUAUCCGUGAUCGCCACCUGGUUGCUGAUUCCUAGGCUCCUUGGUCCGGGAGUUCCCUGGUCAGUUUGGUCUCUGGGGAGCCCUGCCCUACAGCAAUUUUUUGUUACAGUGUUUGAUGAACCAUGUUCUCUGCCAUUUCUGAUCAGCCCCUGGGGAGAGAAGCAUCCAGUCAGAGCAGGGAGGCUGGCAUUGCUCAGGCCCGGGAGAAGGAAGCUUCACUACUGCCUGCAGCCUGCUCCAGGUGGCCGGUCAAGCCUGACUCAGACUGUGGAGGAGCCACAGUGGAAACUUACCAGCCUCAGAUGGAGGGUGUGGGGGUGCUGAGAGGGCAGGCAGACGUGGCCUCCCAGUCGUGCCCAAAGGGCAGAGCAAGGAGAGGAGGCCAGCUGGUGCCCCUCCCGAGCAAGCUCCGCCCUCCCUCUCCCCCAGGAAUCCAGGUCGGAUCCAGAGCUGGGAUCAAACAAAGCACUUAAGGAGGAAGUGUGAACUUUGGACUCGGUGACACACUUCAUCUGGGGCAAAUCAACUGCCACCCCUGGAGGCCCUUGUCCUUCCCAGGACAGGACUGCCCGGCCCUGGUCGUCUAGUCCUCACACUGACCCCAAUUCAUCUGCACAGCCACAUUCCUCUACCCUCCCUCCUCCAGCCAGAUGCUGUCUCUAAGUGGGUGUCGGAAGGCAAUAGACUGGGGAGGGGUAGGCAGAGCCCUGUUGUGGAAGUCAGGGGACCUGGGGUGUGGCUACUACCAGCUGGUGAGGGACUCCCACCCACUCUGAACUCUGUCUCCUGGCAGCUGGGCUCCAUAUCCUUGGGGUUUCUCACCUAUAGAGGUUUUUUUUUUUUUUUUUUUUUU